rnacentral:lncRNA from 1 species
CGCCUGGUCAGGGAUCUGGGGCUGGUACCCUAGUCCAGUGAGAUCCAGCAACUAACGCUUUCCGUGGCUCCCCACACCCUAGAGCGAGCGUACGCCCUCGCUCAUGCGAGAGUUCAGACCCUUUGGAGACCGGCUCCCCUGGACUUAAGAAUCUGGGCAGUUGGAAUACUUCGGAAGCCCCAGGCCAGCACCAUGAGGAACUCUUAGAGCAUCAAUCCCCAUGACCUAGACAUUCUGACCCUGAGAGGAGGGUGCAGAGCGAAGCUUUCAACUCCCCUUCCCAAGUGCGUUUUGUCUGCACUUCUAAAGUUUCUUAGCCCCGGGUCUUCAUAAGCCACCAACUACUUCAUAAUACAGGGAAAGGUUCUUCAUAAGCCACCAACUACUUCAUAAUAAGGGGAAACGUAAUGGGCUCCUCAAAUCCAACCAGCUGAUGACUUCUGUCCGGUCCCCACUCCUGGUAUCCUAUGGGUGAGGGCAGCACCAUUAUUUGGGGCCCAAACCUGGGAAGACAUGAGAAUUCCACCCUGUCUUUUCCUGUCCACCCAGUGGACCAUUAUCUCUGGCCCUAAUUGCCCAGGCCUCCUCUCUGCCUCACCUCAGAGUCUGUUUAAAAAUCUGAAACCUGCCGAGAGCUAUGGCACACGCUGUAAUCCCAGCGGCUCUGGAGGCUGAGGCAGGAGAAUAGUGAGUUCAAAGGCAGAAAGCAAGGCGCUAAGCAUAUCCAGUGAGACCCUGUCUCUAAAUAAAAUAAAGAAUUGCGGUGGGGAUGUGGCUCAAUAGCCAAGUGCCCCUGGGUUCAAUCCCUGGUACGCCCCACCCCCCAAAAACCUCUGAAACCUGACCAUGACCUUCCCCUACUGGGACCCACACCAGCACCUGUGGUCUCCUUUCUCGGUCGUCUGCAGACACACUUAACCUAUUUCCAGGCCUUUGCUCAUAGGGUUCAAGCUUGCCUGGGCAUUUUCACACGGCUGCAACUCAGUAAGAGCAUGCCCAUUACCUCCUGUGUACCUGCCCUGUGCUGAGACUCUGUGCCUGGAGCUCCUAGGAUUAGCGGGGAGACAAUGCACAAGAGCAAAUAGGAUACUCAACUGUACUAGAUGGAACCAGGGAUCCAGACUGUGUGUGGCAGCUGCUGUCAGCAGAGGUAGCCAAGGGAUGGGUCCUGAAAUGUUGACAUUUGGAAAAGCUGCAGACAUAGAGUGUGUAUGUGUGUAGGAGGGUGAAUCUUUCAAGGACCCAUGUGUGGGGGGCAUUUGCAAAUACAAAAGCUCUGAAGUUGAACAGGGCUUGACACAUUCCAGAAUAAGCUUUUUUUUUUGGAUGAAAGAUGUCAGGUGUGGAGGGCAGGCCCUAGUAAGCUGGGAGGAGAGUCCACUUGACCAAGCUAGUGGCAGAUUUGGUAGACUGAACAAUUAAAAAGAUCAGGCAUAUAUGUCUGAAAGGAAGAACAAAGAGGCAGCUUUGAGGGUUGGCUGUUGGGGCUCCCAGUGCAUGCAAUUUACAUGGUAGAGGCCCUUAUUUUGAUCCCCAGCACAAAAAAGUGGGGUUUCUGUUUAUGUGUCACCCACAAGGCCUUGGUACAGUAGGGGAAACUCAGUUCAACUCUGAGCAGCUGUUAUCAUGUGCGCCAUGAAGGGAGAACGGGGAAAAUCUGCAAAGGAGGUAUGGCAAGCUCUUGACAGUGCCCACAGGAACCUGUACAGGGGAAACUGGUGAGGGAAGUGCACCAGAUCACCUGGCUGGUACAUCCUGGGGACCCCCAG